ensembl:lncRNA
CCAGACAGGAAGUGACAUAGCAAAGAGACUCAUAUUUAAGAAGAGGAAAAAGGAAGUGUCCCUCUUUUCCCCUCGGCUCCUGCUCCAGCGGCUCGAUGUGAUUCACCAGCAAGGAGGGACGCCAAUAAGGCGUCCGAUAAGAUAAGUCCCAUAAAAUAUAUAGAUGUAUGGAUUCUCACAACCUAAAACAGAGGGUGAUUUCACUUCUGCUAAAGAGAUGCAUAUUCAGGGUGUGAAUUUGUUUUCCCUGCCCUUUGCUUCUGAGUUCUUACAAAAUGUCUACUUCACCAGCACAGGACCUGCAUAUUAUCAUUUCAGAGAAGAAUGGACUGUUUUGUGGAUGGUCUAAGAGUAAACUCAUGACAGCAACAGUUUCUCAAGCCUUGGUGCUUGAAGUCCCCAGUAUUGCUAAAUGUCACAGCUGAAUCACCAGUUCAGUCUGUGAGGUUAGGAUUUCACCCUUAGUAAGGCAGUCUCCACAGGGAACCAAAAAAACUCAACUAUUGUAUUUUAUCUGAAAAAUCCAAGGGGAUCAUAACCAAUACAGUAACAACACCCCCACUGCCAUCACUCCUCAUGACCUCCUCUGUGACUUUGUAAUCCUUCCUCAUCCCCACAGCACAAGAGAUCUAUAUUCCUACUUGAUCAGAGAAUUGAAACACAGACCUUUUCAACUCCAAACUAUACCCAGGGAUGGGGCCAGCAGGCAAAAAGGAGGGCUGCCAUCUUUGCAAGAAUAGUUACCCCUGAUCAUUAGACAGAGGUGUAAUUGUGUAGAAAUAACAUUGGGCAUCUCCAGGUACCUCUUGGUUGUAAAAAGCAAAGCAAGCAUGACUUGAAUAGAGCAGGAAGACAAAGAAAAAAAGACUCCUGAGUAAAUUUCAGUUGGGCUGUGCUGGGCUUUGGAGAGAUCUGGAAUUAUGUGGUAGAGGAAGGCAGGACUAUCUGGUUCAUGCUGGCACUAUCUGCAUGGAUAGGGUAUUGGCUCUACUGAGUUCUGAGUUCCUCCAGGAAGACAGAUCCAUCACAGCUCCAGAGUAGCUGUUGCUUGAAUGCAUGAAGAAGAGGGUUUGAGCAGCAUAAAAGGUCAUCUGUGACAGCCACACUGCAACUGCUGGAUGCUACACACCUAGACACCAGGUUCCAAAGAAAGUCCUAUCACUCUAGCUUCCAAGGGUUCUGUGAGCAACAUCUGCAAAGAGCCUCCUCCCAGAAGAAUACACCUUUCUGGGGUGAGCCACAUCCUACAGCUGCAAGCAUUAAAAAGUUUCAACCAGUUCAACCCACCAAGGGACUCUCUGAUAGACCAUAUUUGCUUAGACUACCUCAGUGGAUUGCCCAAGGCAUACUUGUUCUGCAAUUAUCUUUCUUCCUUUGCCUGACUCUGCUUCCAUCCCUCCCUUCCAUAGGCAGUGGUUCCUUGGGAGUCACCAAAGCUUGCCUGGUCACCAAAGUAACUCUCAUCUGCUCCUGAGGGAUUAGCCUGUGAAGAUCAUUAAAAACCACCAGAGGGGGGAAAAACAACAAACAAGCAAAAAACACCAAAGCCUCUGCAACAAAUCUAACAAUAGAUAUAGUGCUUCACAACAAAUAAAUGCAAAAGCUUAAUGAAAGAAGCAGAAGAAUAAUUUCUGUUUCGUGGAUUGAAAAUACAUUGUGUUUGUAUGUCCACUUCCCUCCGAGUUAAUCUCUAAAUAUAUUGCAGUUAUAAAGCUGAUUGUGACAUUUAUGUAGAAAAUCAAAAGUACAAAAGCAUCCCCUCCUGUACCUGGAGCAUAAGUUAUAGGAAAACAUAAGCUAUAAAGUCAAGAAACCAAGAGAAUAUAGUGGAAAUGGAGACACACACUGAAGUCAAACAGCACAGAGCUCAGAACACAUGCGUGGACAGCUGAUGCAUGACAAGGUGGUCAUGAAGAGCAGGAGCAGAAGGAAUGAUCAUCUGGACAUGCUUGGAAUCAGCUGUUUCCAUACAGAAAAGGGGGGCAAUUUAAUAGUGAUCUCAUCACACACCCAAAAUACUAUUCUAGGUGGACUACAGAGUGAAGUGUACAGAUUAGAGAGAAAAUGUUCCAGUAGGUAAUCUAGAAUCUGUCCAUAAAUUUGGAACAGGCAGAUGGGGCCUGGGUUGUGUAAGAAAGGGAGUGGAACUGAACCUGAGUCUGGGACCAAGCCAGCACUUAAGUAUUCCUCUGUGGUCCCUGCUUCACUCUCCUGCUUUGAAGUCCCUCAGCGAUGAAUGACAACAUACAAACUAAAAUAACUCUUUCCUCCCCGAAUUAUUUUUGGUCAUGGAGUUUAUCAUAGCAACAUAAAGCAAACUAGUACAGGCAGUGACAUAUCACAGCUGCACACAUACACAUACACACCCCACUACCACCAGCAACAACAACAACAGACACAUGGAGCCUAAGAAUCAUAAACCCAUUUAUAGCAGAACAGACCAAAGAUGUUAUUCAUAUGAUUGAAUACUCUCUAUGAUGGAGAAUGGCAACUAAUGGCACUUAGAAUUAAAUCAUGUAUCCUAGAUACUUAACUUUAGAUAAAAUGACAGCUGAAGUGCCCACUGUAUGGUUCCAUUUAUAUGCAUUUUGAAAUUCUAUGUAAAGAGAAGAUAGGAGCAGAGAAACUGUGGCCCUGGGGAGUACAAGAUGAGGCCUUGGGAUACUGACAAAUGCUUUACUUCUUGACACAUGUAGAGGAGUAUGAGGAUGUUUGUUCCAUGAUCAUCUAUUGAACUGUGUGUCUAUCAUCUGUGUAUUUACCUUAAAAGUAAUCCUGGACCUAUGGAGCUGAAGAGUUGGCUCAGCAGUUUAGAGCACUGGCUGCUGCAGAGAACCUGGAUUCGGUUCCCAGUACCCACAUGGCAGCUCACAGCCAUCUGAGACUCCAGUUCAGUGCUUUGAAUGCUCUCUCUGUUCUGCCCCCUGUGGGCACCUGCAUGCACACAGUGCACAUGCAUACAGUCGGGCAUGCAAGCAGUCUGUCAUGCAUACAUAUAAAAGUUUAAUACAAUUAUAAAAAUUAAACUAAGCUAUGGGCCCAGUAUAAGGAAAAUGUACUGUUUGCCUCCUGAAUUAAUGUGUGGACUUCGCUUGCUGUGCAUCAAAUGGGAGACUUGAGCCCAGGGAUUCAAUGUAGAUCCCACACACCCUAAGACAAAUAGUCCUUUGGCAUUUCCACAGUUGCUCACAUGCCUCUCUCACAUCAUGGAGAUUUCCUGACUCUCGGAGGUGACAGACCCAAACACAAACUUUUAUUUCUAAGAUAGCAUCCUGUACAGCACCUUGUUUUUACUUUGGCUACUAAACUAAAAUAGUCACUGGCUUCCUCGGUUUUAAGCAAAGAGGUUUUCAGUUCUACGUUUAUGAGUUUCUCAUUUUUUAAGUGGAGCAGCUUGGCCAACACCACAAACCUAAAUAUUUUUGCUAGUACAAGUACCAUCCGCUGCAGACGAGUUCUUUACAGGAGGAAACCUGGCUUCUCCCUGCUUGGGUCUGGCCAAAUAGACAUCCCGCCAGGCUUACCAUGAAAGAUCAGCUUUCCGACAACAGCAUGAGGAAUAUUUCCCAUCCAGGGCUGAAUGACUCCUGACAGGAGGUUGCAGGUUUGGCAAGACACCACAAGGACCAGGCCAAGCCAAACAUGGAGUGGAAAACUCUGUUCAGCACUGUACCAUAGACGGUUCCUUCCCUGGGGCUGGCUCACAUGUGUGACUGUCUCUGGUUAGUAACAAGACACCAGCACAUGGUGUACAGAGGAUGUACCUCAGCCAGCCUCCUGUAACCACACAAGCUGUGCUGCUGAAGUUACCAGCAAGUGCCCUAAACUACUUGACACUGCAUUCCAGAAUCCCACAGUUCAGCCAAGGUCCUCCCAUGACUCUCUCCCGGCUUCAAUUUCUAUUUGCCAGCCUACUGUUGCAGUGUUUCAUGAUGUCACCCAAACUAUCAAACUGCCACUCUGCUGGAGCAUUGCUGAGACCACAGGAUCCCACCAUCAAUCUUCCUCCCACUCCAUCCUUCUUCCUUAGCAACUUUUGUUGAUGGCCUUGGGAUCUUGUUUCCCAGGCUGCUUGACCAAGAGCAUCCUGUGCAUGAAGUCUACCCAUGGAAGGAUUUAUUCUUUUCCCUCAAUGACUGAACAUUUAGUUGUCAUUCUGAUCAGUGUUUUGAACUUGGUUUCUGAGAAUCUCCUCUAUGAGAUGAAUCUUGGGCUUUGCCUAAGUCAUAUUUCGAAGCCUGAAUGUAGUCCUAAGAUGAGAUCAAGAUAAUAUAUGCUUCUGUGUUGGGCUAACCCACUAUGAACAGCCACUGGGCAGAAAAUGCUCAACCCUCCCAGUAGCUUCCCACAUGACUGCUUUUUCCUCAGACAUUUUUGCUACUGUAGUUUUAGUUUAGUUUACAAACUAAACUGCACUUGCAAGAGAAAAUUAUGAUUACCCAGAAUGGUCUCUUCCUAGUCUUUCAUGUUAAAUUUGAAAGCAUUGUUGAGACUAGCUAGCCUCCAAACCUGAGCCUAGGGGAUGACUUUAGUCUGCCCCAUGAAAGAACAAUAGAAGACUCAUGCUAUAUUGGCCACCUGUGCAUAGCUGUGACAAAAAUACCUGACACGAACACCUUCACCUUAAGGGAGGAAGGAUUUGCUCUGAUUCAUGGUUUCAGAGAGCACAGUCAAUGGCUGCCAGGCUCCAAGAGCUUGAACAGAAGACACUGGCAGUGGGAACAUGUCAAAAAUAAGCUUUGUCACCUCAUUGCAGACAGGAAAUGGGGGCUGCAGGAAGGAGAUGUACUCCCAAGGACCUGCCUCCAGUGACCUACUUCCUGAAGGUAUGCCCUGCUUCCUGAAGCUUCCACAACUCCCAAGAAAGAACCACCAUCUGUGAACCAAGCAUAAGCCGUUAGGGACAUCCCAGUCUCAACCUUAGCACAUACUGAGGCAUGAUGGUAACAGGACUUUGGGAACUGGAUUCCCAGGACCACACUUCACCCAUGUGUCUCCACUGGAUUUCUGCUGACAGCUAAACACUAGACAGCAAUACUGUUUUCUUCUCCACCAAAUGGGAUCAGCUCCACACAUUCUCUUUCCUCAAUUUUUUCCCAAGUUAGGAAAGAGAAUAGUCACAAAUUCACUGAGAGAUAUGUGGCAAUAAUCAUAUUACAAUGAAUGAGGAAAGAAGGCAGUGUGGAAACACCGUAUUUGGGGUCUUCCAUUUCAAUGGGAAGAGAAUUUCCCCUGUCACUGUGUGAAAAAUGCACGGGAAACCAACACAACAUCCUUUUCACUUUGCAUCUGAAAUAACUUUCCAGUCACUUGACUGUACCACACAGGUGUGAGCUAUUCAAUCCAAAAUAGGAACCAAGACCGAACAGUUAAUUGGAAAGUUAGGUAAUAUCCUGAGUGUUCCAUGCUUAUGUUGACAGCUGAGCAGUGUGGGGAAGAGUCGGGGAUAUGACUGGCUUCUCACUGGCUUCCCUGCUCUCUCUCUGCUUACCCCCUCUUAUCUUUAGCCAGUGAGGGCAAGAACAGGCAAGGAGAAUGGAUGGAAUGUUAAAAUAAUGAGUGCACAGUCCUAGGGUUAGCUUCAGACUCUCUAGGCCUCUGGCCUGUCAUAAAACAAAAAAUAAAAUAAAAUAAAAAACAACAACAACAAAAACCACCUCCCCCUCCCAUGGAUGUCGGUGGCCUCCUGCGUGUCCAUCUGACCACAGUUUCCUAACAGGCUGUGCUCCUCUUUCACUAGCUGCUUUACCCUGAUUGUUCCUCAGCAUGCAGUGUGGUCUUCUGGUUGUUAGAUCUGCAUGCCCUGCUGUUGGUAGUAUUGAAGUUAAAUCCACCUCUCACUCUGUCAGCUACUAAGCAAGGCAACCUCUAGGGGCAAACUGCUAUAUUAAUAUACCUUCAAAACAUCCUCUCCCCACCCCGCAACAAAAUUUUCUGAUGAGUUGACCAUGCUCAAAAGGCCCUUAUUCUCUACAUAUUCUUGAAGGUGUAUUCUGCCAUCCUGAGCUAAGCAUGCCAAAGGAUGUGUCCUUCAUUUUUCUUUAGUUAGGAUCUUGAGCUGAGUGGGUUCAGAAUGUACUAUUCAGCUGAGCAUGCUCAAGACUGUGACUUCUUGUGUGGUUACAUGUAGAGUGCCUUCCCAAAAACCUCCAUGCUUGUUUUGUUCAAGAAGGGCAUGGCUUUGGAAACAAUUAUCCUACCAUCCUUAGCUGCCACAGUAGUAAACGUCACAAACAUCUAUCAAGAGCAGUUUGUGUGCCAGGCUGUCUGUCUGUUUCCCUCCUUCCUUUGGAAGCAGUCUUGGAGGGUGAAGGUACUGGAAGGAUGGGUCUGGGCAACACAUCCUGCAAGUGACUUGGAGAAUGAGCCUCGGGAUCACUGGGAAAGAAGCCAUUCGUCCUCCCUGCUCAAUGCUCAGCAGUCAUCUCUCAGAAUAUCACAGCAACCCAGAAGCAGAGGAAGAAAAAUAGUAUCAAGUAUCCAAGGCAAGAUUUGUCUCCCAGCAGACAUCAGAGUCACAUACUUCCUUCAGCUGGGCCCCACCUCCUUCCUUUCACCACCUCCUGCUAGGCACCCAUCAAGAGAUUAAUCCAUUGAUUAGGCCAAAGGCUCAGGAUCAGUGUCUCUGGCAAAGCCAUUAGAGACACACUCAAAGUUACUUCACUAAUCAAUCCACUAAGCAUGUCUCAAGUAGACAACUGAGAAUAACUGUCACACCAAUUAAAAAGUUGGGUUGUUUUAUUGUACAAGAUUUAUCUUUAUUAUUUUUAAUUUUUCAUAUGUGUGUUUCUACAUGGGUAUGUGCACACAUGUGCAGGUGCCUGCAGAGUCCGAAGGGCUCAUAUCCCCCUGGAACUGGUGUCACAGGCAGUUGUGAGUCACCCAGUGUGGGUGCUGAGAACUGAAGAGCUGAAAAGUAUGCUAAACCAUCUCUCCACCCUUACCUAGCAAGAGGUUUUGUUUUUUCUGUUUGUUUGAUUGGUUUUGUUUAGAUUCUCAUAUAUCUCAAAGAUUGAGAAAAAAAUUUAUAACCAGCUUUACAAAAAGAGAGGUUAGGGCUUAGACUCAGGAAGAAGCCCAGCUGAAGCUCAAUCCUGCUGAGGAGAGCCCUAAACCUGCCCUGCCCUGAUUACCUGACAUCAACUCCUCAAGCCUGGGUGAGGAAGAGCCCUAUCCCACUUUCAGACUCCCAACCUUGAUUUACUGUGUGACUUCAUGCAUGGCAGAAAGAUCUUGAAGGCCUUGGAAGUAAAAUAAACAAAAAGUAGUCUCAGUUGUUGCUGUAAUUAUAGAUAAUAGAUAGCAUCACAAACUCAAAAAGUUCAGAGUCUUUGAAGCAAGAAUGUGCCCCAAAUUUCCCCUUGAAAAUCACUUUGCUGCCUCAGAUUGUCAUAAUCAUGAUAACCAAUGUUCCCAUUUCAGAGUCACAAUAACCAAUGUCCCCAUUUCACAGUCAUGAUAACCAAUGUCCCAUUUCACAGUCAUGAUAGCCACUGUUCCCACUUAACAGUCAUGAUAACCAAUGUCUCUAGUUCACAGUCAUAAUAAUCAAUGUCCCUGUUUCAUAGUCAUGGUAACCACUGUUCCCAGUUUACAGUUAUGAUAACCAAUGAUCCCUUUUCUCUCCAGAGACCCAUGAUAAACUCUUCAGGAAACAGGCAAAUAUUGAAAAAUAUUUCUCAAUAAUUGAUUUUUACAUUUUCUCCUUUUUUGACAAAAUAUGUUUGUACAUUAUUAGCAAAGAAUUUGUGAGCCUUCUUGGGUUGCCAUCACAAAACAAACAAAUCAUUCUGUAAGGCAUCAGACAUUCUUUUACAUGGUUAGUGUGUUUUGUAGUAUGUGUGUGUGUGGUAUGUGUGUAGUGUGUGUAUAUAUGUGUGCAUAUGUGUUGUGCAUGAUGUAUGCACUUGAUGGGUGAAGUGCUUCUGUGUGUGUGUUUGUCUAACUGGAUGAUAAAUAAAACACUGUUUGGCCAAUGAGGCAGCAUGUUAGACUGGACUAGGAGUCAAAGAGGAUUCUGGGAAAUGUAGUAGAGAAGUGGUGAUCCAGGCCGGAAGUGACAUAGCAAGGAGACUCGUAUUUAAGCAAGGAGAAACAGGAAGUGUCCCUUUUCCCCUCUGCUUUUCCUCCAGCGGCACAAUGUGAUCUGCCAGCAAGGAGGGACACCAAUGGAAGGUGUCCGAUAAGAUAAGUCUUAUAAAAUAUAUAGAUUUAUGAUAAUUAAGACUGAGCUAACAGAUGAGAAUCCUAGUCAUUGGCCAAGCAGCAUUUGUACCUAAUAUGUCUCUGUAUUAUUUUGUCCAUCCACACGGCAGGCAGAACUCGGGUGGCUUUGGUGGAAAGAUUUAUCAUAACAUAUGUGUGUGUGUGUGUGUGUGUGUGUGUGUGUGUGUGUGUGGUGUGGUGUGGUGUGGUGUAUGUGUGUGAGUGGUGUGUGUGUUCAUAUGUGUUCCUUGCACAUGCUUGUGUGUGUGUGUGUGUGUGUGUCUGUGUGUGUGUGUGUGUGUGGUGUGGUGUAUGUGUGUGAGUGGUGUGUAUGUUCAUGUGUGUGUGUGUGUGUGUGUGUGUGUGUGUCUGUGUGUGUGUACACAUACAUAAGAGACCAGGAUAGGAUUUCCAUUGUCUUCUUCCUCAGUGAUUUUUGCUAUAUUUCCUUGAGACAGGAUCUCUAACUAAAGCAGAAACUCACUUUGUGGCUAGGCUGUUGGCCAGUGAGCUCUGAGGAUAUGUUUGCCUCUAUUACCAAAUUGCUACAGGUAUAGGAACAUAAAACUGUGCCUAGAUUUUUGUGUGUGUUCUGGAAUGUUAAACGCAGGUCUUAAUUCUUACAGACCAUGUCCACUGAGCCAUCUGCCAGCCAUCAUUUUUCAUAUUUUAAAAUAUGCUCUCAUCUCAUGCUUUCAUGUUCAAAGUACAUUGAGAUCAUACAUAUUUCUGUUAUUUGUACUAACAAACAGAAGUAAGUGAAUUACUGAAAACAGUUUUGAAUUAUCUUUAAAAUUCCAUUUUGCUUAUAUUAAAGUUAUCUGGUAUUUGGAAACGUAUUUUAAUUGCCUUAAGCCAAAAAUAAUUAUUAAAUGUCUGACUGUCAAGCUAAAUGUGCUUUUCUCCUAACUGCAGCCCACUAUAUAUUACAAUUAACUUCUCCCUUGUCAAGACUUGCUUGGAAUAGAUACUGACACAUGUUUUUAGUUAGUUCUGAAAAAGUAUGUGACCCAGCAAUACUCAGUUUAAAAGUAGAAGAAUAAGAAAAAGGAUUAGCAAAUAACAAUUCACAUAUUCCUACAAAUACUACCAGUAAACUUUAAACAAGAUUUUAUAUGGUGGGGCUGGAGUGAUGGCUGUUCUUCCAGAGUAUGAGAGUUCAAUUCCCAGCACCCAUAUGUUGGCUCACAUUCAUCUGUUAAAUCCAAAGGGAUGCAAUGCCUCUUCUGGCCUCCAUGGAAUCUGUACCCAAGUGAUGCAUAUGCAUACACUAGGGGAAACAUUCACAUACAUACACACAAAAUCAAAUGCAUAUGUUUAAAAGGUUUUGCAUGGAUGCAUCCUAUUAAAAUAUAGUUCAAUCUUGAGCUCUUGCUCACACCUGCAGCACUAACAAGCUGUCCUACUGAAUGGUGUUCAUCUUUUGUACCUCACACUAGAGGUGGCUUCUUCCUUAAAGUCUCCAUGAGACCUUACUUUCAACCAGAGUGAGGAGCAUAUGACUCAGGACACAGGAUCCUGUGCAUCCCUUGCUUGUCCUUACCUCCACCUACACAGUGACUUAUUGACAAGUGGAUCAAUGAAUGUAUACCUCUGAUGGGUGUACUCUAACCUCUGUUCAUGUAAUAAACAUAAGUGGAAUAAGUAAUGACAGAUAACCACAGAUAAAACCUAUAAGCUUAUUUUUGUAUGAAUUAAUUUAAUAUACUUACUAUUCUCAGUUUACCAAUCAGAAAUAGAGAAGUGGUGAGAAAUGACACAGUAUUAAACAAUUAUUGCUAGAGUUUGGUUUGGAUAUAAGUGCUGUGGUGGUUUGAAUAGGAAUAGCCCCCAUGUAUUCAUGUGUUUGAAUGCUUAGCCCACAGGGAGCUUCAGUAUUAUUAGGAUGUGUGGCCUUGUUGGAGUAGGUGUGGCCUUAUUGGAAGAAGUGUGUCACUGUGGAGUCAGGUUGAGGUCUUAUAUGUUCAAACUAGGCCUCAUAGGACAGUCUCCUGCUGCUUGUGGAUCAAGAUGUAGAACUAUCAGCUCCCUCUCCAUCAUCAUGUCUGCCUGCAUGCUGCCAUGCUUCUUGCCAUGACAAUAAUAGACUAAACCUCUAAAAACUAUAAGCCAGCUCCAAUUGAAUGUUUUCAUUUUUAAGAGUUGUCAUGGUGUCUCUUCAUAACAACAGAAACCAUAAGUAAGACAACCACUUUGAACUGGAAAACAAUCCUCUUUUUUCUUUUAUUCAGUACUUUGAUUGAAACCAGGGUGUAGCAAAUUGUAAACAAAUACUCCACCAACCAGAUAUAGUUCUAUUCCUUUAUUCGUUUGUUUGUUUUCCUUUUUGAAGUUGGGUUUCCUUAAGUUGCCCAGGCUGACCUUGAAACUGAUCCUCCUGCCCUACAGUCUCCCAAGAUUUUGAGAUUGUGUGUCCUGGACCAAGGACACAACAUUUAAGUAGAUCAUGGAUGAAUAGUGAGUUUUUAAAUUUGUGUCAUGAGAUUCAAGAUAAGACUGCCCUUGUGACAUUAGUGAGACAACUUUCUGCUAAGUUUCGCCAUUAGGAAUGGUUCCCACGCUGAAGACAAAGUUACCCCUCUUCAUGGGUGACUGCAAAUGCUAAAUGCCACAAUGGAACUAAUUACAGUAUGGCACAGCUGAAAGGCAGGGAUCCCAGAAAUCAUUCCAACCUGGACACAUCUCAACUAAAUAUUCCUAAGACAUGCAUCCAGCUUUGCAAUAUUACAGUCAUAAUUUAGCAAUUAUGCUUUAGUUCUUAAUAGUUCCAAGUCGAGUUCAUUUUUUAACUGAAAUGCUUAUCCUAAUUCAAUUUCAUCAAGUUAAUAAUUCAAGUUUUGAACUUUUACAUCAAGUAAUGAGGUUAUUAAAUGUGUGAUCAGACUCUGGGUAUAAUUAAAAGCACUCAACUCAAAUCAAAGAAGUAGAGGAAGAAUGCUCAGAUUCUGCCUGAUUUUACACUCUUGGAAUGACUGGUUGGCUCAAGCCAAAUCAUCCCCAAACUGUCUUGUACUAAAAAUGCAUCACUCACUGAAAAGGGCAAGUGUUUGGUCAACCUUUAAAGGAGUCAGGAGAUUGCCCUUCAACAAUAGAGACAAGAAGGAGAGCUCACUUAGCUGUUCAGGGGCAACCACUUCUCCCAUUUUGUGGUUUUAUUCCUGGAGCAUUACUGACUCCAAGGCACUGGAUUCUGUUUCUCUGAGUCGGGAAUAAUUAACCUGACUGUACAACCUUGACAGAUGACGUCUGUGGUUAUUUUUAGGUCCACUUUCUUCUGAGUUGCUCACUGGUGCUGAGGCCAGUGGGAACACUCAGGUCCAGGUGCUCUGACUGCCUGCACUAUGUCUGGCAAUUUGUUGCAGCACAGCUAAGGAGAUUUCCCAGAAUGCAAGUUUGAUGCUUAAAAUGAGGCCGCAAGAUCAACAGAACUGCAUCUAAAGGGCAGCCUUAUAACAGACAUUUCUUUGGAUUUUUUUCUAUCAACACAAAUCAUCAAAGCAACAUUACAGAUUUGCAUAGGCAACUUUUCAAAAAGAAAGUUUUUAUUAAUUUUUAAGAAUGUCAUAAAUACAGUAUAUUUUGAUCAUAUUCACCCCCUCUUCUCCUCCUAAAUCCUUAUAACCUAUCCCUUAACCUCUCACCCCUCCUCCCAACUUCAUCACUUCUGUUUUUUAAAAUAACUUUCUUUGUUCAGUUAAUGACACCCAUAUACUUUGGUGUGGGGCUAUUUACUGGAACAUGCUCAGCUCACCAGGGACCACACACACAGAGAAAGCUGACUCCUCCUCCCCUAGCAGCCAUCAACUUAGCUAUGGAUAGGAGCUCUAAACCCUUCCUCAUCGACGCUGAGAUAUUGGCUGACUCAAUCUCAUGCUGGUCUUCUGAAAACAACCACAGCUGAUGUAAGUUCAUGAGUGCAGGCUUCUGUCAUGUCCAGGAGACAACACUGUUUUGCUCUGGUCCUCCCUGACCCCUGGCUCUAACAAUCUUUCUACCCUGUUAUCAAUGCUGGUCUCUGAAGUCUCUGGAGAGGGGUGUGAUGUAGAUGUCCUAUGUAUAGGUGCAUCCAUUGACACUUAUUCUCUGCACGUUGACCUGUUGUGAGUUUCUGUGUUAACCAUCAUCCAUCAUCACAUAAAGAAACUUCUCAGAUGAGUGUAGAGUGCAGUUUGGUUCCAUGUCCAUUCAGCAAAAUAAUUGCAUUAGGUUCACCCCUGGUGCCCAUGAACUCCUCAAUGAUGAGUUCUUAGCCAGAUCUGGAGUACCAGGCAAGUGAUUGCCCAAUCAGAAAGCAGUUGUUUACCCCCCCCCAUACCAUUUGUGCCACUAUUUGUGCACCCAUGGUCAUAUCUUAUCACACCAGUCAUUAUUGAAGCUCUUAGGAAUCAGUGGGAAAGACUGUUGACUUUCUACCCCACUGCCUGCAUAGUAUUUUCAAGUUCUAUGAAAGCAAGCCAGCAGGGAUGACUAUGUAAGUACUUCAAGUCUAAAAGCAAAUUAUUAUAAAUGAAUGUCUGGGGAUUGAUAUGUAAAAUAAGAUUGUUUUUAAAUAAAAUAAAACAUUAAAAAAGAAAAAAUGAGUAUCUGAAUUAGAUAGUAGAUUUGUUUGUUUGCUUAUUGACAUUUUUCAUUUUUAAAGGCACAAGAACUAAUAAAUUUUAGUCACAUAAACAGUUUGUAUCGGAGGGAAUUGUAACAGUUUGUUAAUGGAAGGAAUUUUUUUCUUUUGCUCAUUUAACAAAUGUCAUGCAAUAUUUUUGUAUUCCUUCAUUAAGAACACAUGGUGCUCUGAAAUAAAAAUUCAGUUUCCAUGAUCAAUCAUCUAAAAGCUCAGUCUUUCUCUACAAUAUAUAAAACGAAACAGUGGAAAUGAGCUGAUUGCAAAGGAUUUGUCACAUAAUAAAAAGUUACUCAUAUUGCUGUUGUUUUGUGGAAAUGGAUUAAGACAGCUCUUUGGGAACUUGUUGCAUUAAUUUAAAUUAUGUCUGUUAUCCCUUCACUCGGAAGCACCAUGUUUCUACAUGUGUAUAAGAGCUAGGGAGUAGAGACAUCAUUCAUUCCAAUGCACUUUUAUGGUGAUAAUGAUCCUAUCAUAGGCUUUGGAUCACUCAUCAAAAUGUUAGCACUAAAUUAAUAAUCAGUUUCAAAAGCUAAUAUCUUGAUAUUUUGGGUUUUAUUGCACAUUGUUCAUCUCUAAAUCAUCCUUAAAACUGCCCUGUAGUUUCCUUUGUCUUUUCUGCCUUUAGGUCUUAACAUGAAUGUUUUCCCAGCUUCAUGAGAGACAGUGACCUGUUCAGGCUCUUUUACUCAUUGCUUUGAGAGUUUAAUACAGGACAAUGUUGGUUGUGUAUAACACGAGAAUUUGCAAGUAUUAGCCUGAAGACCAUCCAAUCCUGUCUUAAAGAGAGAAUGGCUUUGGGUGCCAUUUAAUUCAUUUCAUCUUCAUUUUCUUCUUGUUUUCAGUUUCUUUUGUGGUACUAUUUCAUUAGGAAUAUGUUUCAGCAUUCUAUGUUUAUUUAGAAAUUUAAUCAUGUUAUUUGGUUUUCAACUUGG